GUGGCUGAUGAAAAGCCCAAGGAAGGAGUCAAGACUGAGAAUAACAAUCUUAUUAAUUUGAAGGUAAUGGGGCAGGAUUGUUCCAUGGUGCAGUUUAAAAUUAAAAUACCACUUAGUAGAGUAAUGAAAGUCUAUUGUGAAUGACAGAGUUUGUCAGUGAGGCAGAUCAGAUUCUAAUUUGACAGGCAACCAGUCAAUGAAACAGACACACCUGCACAGUUGGAAAUGGAGGAUGAAGAUACAAUUGAUGUGUUUCAGCAACAGACAAGAAGUGUCUACUGA
rnacentral:lncRNA from 1 species